rnacentral:lncRNA from 1 species
GGGGGGAAGGAAAAAAAAACUGGGGAGAACUAGGCGGCUUUCUGAUCAGAGUUCAGAUAAAAAGGGUCACAGUAAUUUGUGGGCACUGACUAAAAUAACCCAAUGGAUUUGAGAGUUACCGCAAAAGAAGCAAACAGACAAACUAAAGAGAACUUGAACUUGGGUACUGACAAAUGAAGAUGAUGAACUUAUGUUUUUUACCUUCUUACCGUGGACUUCAGCCAUGAACUUGGUGAUGAGCCAGAGAAGGUAACUUUUCAUCCCCUACAAGACCUAUUCCAUGUUGCAGCUAACCUUAAAGAAAUCAUCACUUGGAACUGAUUCAGAAUCCCAUAUCACAUUUUGUUAUUACUUUUGCCUGGUCUCCUGCUGUCUGGAACAGUUUUUCAGUCUUCCUUCAUUUUCAAGAGUGUGAAAGGAUCCCAAGACCAAAAGUCUGGGAACUGCUGGUUUAGAGUCACAAUACUGACUGCUCAAAAUGACUUUUUAAAGAAGAAAGCCUUAAAAACCCUUGAGUGAAUGGUUGGUAUUUACAGACAAGCAAAUGUAUGGAAGAGAAACGAGAGACCCAGCCUGAAUCUGUUGAAUGAACGAAAGGGGAAAUGCCCUAAGGAGUCAGAUGGAAGAAGUUUUUCUGGGAAGAGCAGAACACAGGAGUUGGGGUGCAGACCUCCUGGAUCACCAGCAGAAGGAAAAGAGCAGUGAGACGUUAAAGUGAUUGAGACAAAAAUGGAAGUAAAACAGCUUAAGGCUUUCUGAGAUCGAGUUCCUGGCAGUGUCAUCAGCAGAUGGUUUCUUCUGAAGUUCAGGGGAAGAGAAGAUGCUCGAAGAACUCUCCAGGGACUGAGUGGGUGGUACAGAGCUAGUGCUGUAGAUGCCAUGUAUACAGGCAAAUUCCCCAAUGAGUGUUUUCCAAUAUCAAGUUUAACUGGCAUUUAAGAUAUAUGCCAAAGGUAGGUAAAUUAUUUUGGCCUGUGCUUAUAGGUUUAUUUCCCUGGAUGAAGCUUUCUGUCUCUGUCCUAGUGCACUGUAGCAGAUGCAGGGUCUUUCCAUACAAUACAUUAAAAGCUGCAUCUCAUUUUAAAUAUAUUAUAGAAACCCUGAUCAUACAAUACAUACAAGAUUUUUAAGAUCAGCCUUCAGUCGAUUUUUUUGCUUUAUUUUUGUUCUGGAGGUCAAAAUGAGUGGUUAACUGUCUAAGUUGAUUGCAGAGAAAGUUACUACUCAUUCUAAACGUAGGUUUUUAGAAAAGUGUUCUUGGCAGUUGCUACCAUUGGCUUUUUCCAACUUACAUGGGAAUCAAGAUUCAGAACUGGUACACCAAUGGGAAGAGCCUGGAAAAUAGACUAUUGAUCAAGAUGAAUCUGGUCCAGAUACUUUAAGACCUUUUCAGUGUGUUUUUAAGAUUAUAAGUUUGAACUAACAGAAACUUCAAUGCUGUUUUUUCACAAGUCAAUGUGUAGUGUACUGUUAUUCUUUUUUUUCCUGUAAUAUCUUAAUAAUAUUCCUGGCUGUAAGAAAAAGUUAACACUAUACCUAUGUUUUGACUUACUUUAUAGAAGACCCAAACAAUAUUUAACAAAAGGAUUUUUCUCAAAUACUAUUUUGAAAUCACUAUAUUAGACACUAUCUUAAAUUUAUUUCUCAAUUUGCUUCUUUUUGAAACUUCCACAUUUUGGUGUUCUUUUCAGCAUCACUCAUUUUCUUUCAUAAUAAAGAUACCCAAUAACAAUAUCAUAAUAAAGAUUUGAUAACAAAUCUCCAGUUUUGGAGUGUUACAUUUCAUAUCUACAUGCUUACAGAGAAUUUAGUAUGAAUAUUCCCUGGCCUUAGUUCCUCUAAGCCUAGGAUACUUGUAGUCAUUUGGCAAAUAAUUUAAUCCAUGGCAAACAUGAGUCUUAAUACAAAAAUUAUUGAGUAGGCAAAAAAUAAUUGAACAUAUUUUGGACUGAUUACCAGUGCAUUAAAAAAGUAGAGGUUUAAGGAUGAGAAUAAUAAGUUUUUUUGUUUUUACUUAAAUUUAUAUAAAAGGAGUGAAAAUACAGUAGCCUAUAGUACUUAAGAGUGUGGGUAUAUUUUCAGCACUUAAUAAUUACUAGUUGAAUUGCAUAAUAUGGGACUAUAACUGAUAUGGUUUGGCUCUGUGUCCCCGCCCAAAUCUCAUGUUGAAUUAUAAUUUCCAAUAUUGGAGGAGGUACCUAGUGGGAGGUGACUGGAUCAUUGGGGGAAAUUUCCCCCUUGCUGUCCUCAUGAUAGUGAGUGAGUUCUCACAAGAUCUGAUGGUUUAAAAGUGUGUGGCAUUUCCCCCUUUACUCUUUCUCUCUCCUGCUGGCCAUGAGAAUAAGUGCUUGCUUCCCAUUCACCUUCUGCCAUGCUUGUGUUUCCUGAGGCUUCCCAGCCAUGCUUCUUGUUCAAGCUGCAGAACUGUGAGUCAAUUAAACCUCAUUUCUUCAUAAAUUACCCAGUCUCAGCUCUUUAUGGGAGUGUGAGAAUGGACUAAUAAAAUAUCUCUAGAAUUAUGUUUUUGGAGAUAAUUUAAAGAUAAACAAAUAUUGGAAACCUCAUUUGAUCACACAGAGAACAGUAAAUGGAAGUUCUACUUUUUCUCCAGGGCCUUUCUCAUGCUUAUGCAGGGAUUAUUCACCCAGAUAUCCUGAAAUAAGACAUCCAAUUAAGGUACCUGCUAUCUCAUGUAACACAGAAGAAAGUUGAGCAUAGAGGUUAAACAUUACCUAAUAUUGUUGGAAAAGCUUCGAAGCGUUCAUUUUCAAAGCAGCUAAUGUAAACCAUGAUAAUCACUAGUAGCACUAUGCCAUUUUAAAUACUUCAAUAUUUUGUAGUUAUUAGAUUCUAAGUAAGUAUAAAAUGUAGUGAAUACAAAUUUUAUUUGCCUAAACAGUGUUAGACAAUAUAAAUUAACGAGUUAUUUUUUAUUCUGUUUAAUAUUUUCAAGC